ensembl:snRNA U6 U6 spliceosomal RNA
GUGCUCACUUUGGAAGUACAUCUACUAAAACUAGAAUGAUACAGAGAUAAUAAGCAUGGCACUUCCACAAAGCUUACAUGCAAAUUCAUGAAGAGUUCUUGAAAGAG